rnacentral:lncRNA from 1 species
CCUCCAGCCCUUACUUAGCCCAAACUGCCUUUUACUUAGCAGCAAUUAAGAGGGCAUCUGAGACCUUGUGAAUUCCUUUGUCCAUUAGUUUGAGCGCAGACUAAUUACACUGGUCAAGCCCUAUUGAAUAGAUAGGAGCAAGAGAAUUCCAGAGUCUUUCCAUGGGAUCUGCACUUCUCUGUGGAUUAUACUGGAAGUUUCUGCCUUGAUAUAUAAGCAGAGACUAAGGGAGUGAGCAGGAGCAGCAGAGCCUGGAGAAAUCUGAAGAUGUUUUAGAAGAACUC